UACGGAGGGGGCUAGCGUUGUUCGGAAUUACUGGGCGUAAAGCGCACGUAGGCGGCUUUGUAAGUUAGAGGUGAAAGCCCAGGGCUUAACCCUGGAAUUGCCUUUAAGACUGCAUCGCUAGAAUCGUGGAGAGGUGAGUGGAAUUCCGAGUGUAGAGGUGAAAUUCGUAGAUAUUCGCAAGAACACCAGUGGCGAAGGCGGCUCACUGGCCCAUUACUGACGCUGAGGCACGAAAGCGUGGGGAGCAAACAGG
rnacentral:rRNA from 1 species